rnacentral:rRNA from 1 species
UACGUAGGGUGCGAGCGUUAAUCGGAAUUACUGGGCGUAAAGCGUGCGCAGGCGGUAAGUUAAGUCUGAUGUGAAAGCCCCGGGCUCAACCUGGGAAUGGCAUUGGAAACUGGCUUGCUAGAGUGUGGCAGAGGGGGGUGGAAUUCCGCGUGUAGCAGUGAAAUGCGCAGAUAUCAGGAGGAACACCAAUGGCGAAGGCAGCACUCUGGGACGUGACUGACGCUGAGACGCGAAAGCGUGGGGAGCAAACAGG